AUACGUAGGGCGCGAGCGUUGUCCGGAAUUAUUGGGCGUAAAGGGCUUGUAGGCGGUUUGUCGCGUCUGCCGUGAAAUUCCCUGGCUUAACUGGGGGCGUGCGGUGGGUACGGGCAGGCUUGAGUGCGGUAGGGGAGACUGGAAUUCCUGGUGUAGCGGUGGAAUGCGCAGAUAUCAGGAGGAACACCGGUGGCGAAGGCGGGUCUCUGGGCCGUUACUGACGCUGAGGAGCGAAAGCAUGGGGAGCGAACAGGAUUAGAUACCCUGGUAGUCCAUGCUGUAAACGUUGGGCACUAGGUGUGGGGGCCGUCCUUGGUUUCUGCGCCGUAGCUAACGCUUUAAGUGCCCCGCCUGGGGAGUACGGCCGCAAGGCUAA
rnacentral:rRNA from 1 species